GAAGGGCAUCGAUUAGAUAUGAUUAUGUGUUCGGACUUAAUUGUCAAGCUUUGUACCCCAUUGUUAAAAUGUAGGCGGAUGGGCAAGGGUGUACCUCCGAAAUGGGUGUCGGAAGAAGAGGUUUUCUUCAGUGAUAUUGGUUUUUACGCGUGGGCAACGACCGAACCCUUAUUGUAUUGUGACCUGACGUUUCUCACGUCACCCUCACGUUCAGACAUUCCUGCUCGUGACACGGUCGUGAACAGCACACUUCUCGGACGUCCAACUUCCAGCACUCUAUUCACAAGUGACCAGCCUGCACGUGGGACACAAGAGCCUUGUAGUAAUAGUGCGGGAGGAAGAUUGUCCUAGUGGUCAGCAGCAUCAGACGUUGUUGCCAGGCGGUGCAUUUUUGAGCUCUGUUGUGCGAGCUGAAGUCGCUCCUCCAUCUCCUCUCUCACUAGUCUGAGGCAGGACCCUGUCUUGGCCUCACUCCUUUCUGCUCGUGGCAGAAAUCUCGUCGCGGAUUAUUUUGAGAAGAUUAGAAAAGAUUUACGUGUUGCUUCCCACGCGCCCUGCCUAGUGCUGGGCAUAGGGACCUGUGGUGAGACGGAAGAGUAAAUCAAAGCGAGGAAAACGAAAUAAGUGUGUGUACAAUUCUUGGAAUUGUGUGAGUGAGUAGUUCCGCUGGUGUUGGAUACACAAGGAACGGACGUGCUGUUGCUGCUGCAGCUGCAACGCUUCCUUGCAAGGCCUCUGGUGGCGGUGACAAGGAAUAGCUUUACCUUCGCAAGACCAAUGGAGAUUACUCUAUUAACCCUUAUACAAGUAGGAGUCUUGGGUAUAGUGUUUGGAAGUGUGAAAGUACUUCUCUUUGUGUGUUCAUUUAUAACCACAGGAACAUCAUGGAUGGUGCAAGUAGUCCUGUUUUUACAGGAUUUCCUCUUCCACCCAUUAUCUUUACUCCAGACAUGUCACCGAGAGAUCAUGAGUCUAGCCCUAUGGACGUGCCGGGUGCUGUGGAACACGGUGCUAGCGGCAACAAAUCUGGUGCUAGCAGCCCUGGUGUGGACUUCAAUUCCAUCAAUUCAAAGGAAGGUUCUGUGAAGGGGAAGGGGGGGGCACUGCUACACCAUUUCUUGCACCCCCUUGAUUACUACCACCAGCAUCAAGCCAAAAGGAGAAGCCGCAAUAAUUCAAUAUCUAGUGACCAUGGAGAUAUAACCCUUGAACUUGCAAAUGCUCAUGCCCAAGCACAGGCAAAUAAAGAAAAAGAAAAAUCAUUCCGCUCUAAGACACCUGACCCUCCGCGAGUGCAGAGGCAGGAGAGAGAGAGAUCCCGCACACCUGAACCAUGGCCUGUCUACAGACCCCAAGCACGACAGCGACCACGCCCAAGAAACCUAUUUAUUCCAGUGCCAAAUCAGCCCCUGUCAAAAGGUAGCCCUGUGGUCACAUCCCCAACAAAGUCAGAGGGGUCAUACUAUCAACGAAGGGGCAGCGGCGCAGAAAGCAUUCCAAGUAUAGCCAGUAGUGAGAGUGGCAGUAGCACAGGGAGCAGUGGUAGUUAUACUGGUAGUGAAAGUGAGAGUGAGAGUGAAGAAGAAAAGCCUAAAACCUGGUCAUCUGGAGUACGAACUUUAGGACAGGAGUAUAGCCAAGUCUCUUCUUCGCCUGGCAAGGAGCAGGCAUCAUCUCCCCCAGCCACCAGCCCCAGCAUACAGGCAAAAAGACCAUCCGUGAGUUUACCAAUUGACCAAAAUGCCCGGCCAAAAUCACCCAAUUUUCAUUUCCCCUUUGAGUACUUGUACAGAAGAAGCUCCCUUUCAAAGUCUUCACGCAGAGGCAGCAUUGAAUCUCCACUUGCACAGAACAGUUUUCCAGGACCUACUAGCCCCACUGAAACAAAAACUGAUUCCCUUAAGGUGCCAAAACCCCACUCUCCCUUCAACUGGUAUAGGAGAAGGUCUAUGUCGAAGUCCCCCAAUAGGCCUCCCCAUGCUCCUCUUGGGCAGACAACUAGCUCACCCACCAAGUCGCCCCAAAUGCAUCCAGCAGUUAAAAGUAGACUCAGCAUACCAACAAAUGCAGGUUGUGAUUUAGAAGGCAGUGUCUCCAAGGGUUAUUCCUUCACACAAACACAGUCUCUUUCGCACUUAAAAAGAUCCUCAGGGGAAGCACACGGAGAGAAAAAAGGUGAUUUAGAAUUAGAUAGGGAAAAUCAGGCAAAGGAUAUGGACAGCAGCUGGGAGAGUUUCUGGAACGAUGGUCCAGAUGGAAAUGCGUUGAGUUCCAAGAAAGAGAAGCCUCAGAAGGGUAUUGAAAAAUCUUCGUCGGUGGAAAAGUUAUAUCACAUAUAUGAUCAGAUUAUUAAAGAAGGUCAGAUGCGAAGACACUCCUCGGAGACGGACAAGAGGCGACAUGGCAGUGGCACACUCUCGCACACGUACAUGCGAGGCGAGAUGGAUCCCAACAGGCAGCCAUCCUGUUUCGGGAUUCUCGAGGGACAGCAAUUGACGACGAGAAGCGAACUCGAAGCGUCUUACAACAUGGCCUAAUGAACGCCAAAAUUAGUUUAAGGUCACUGAUUCUAACUGUGACCAUGUUACCUUGUUCUUUAAUAACUGCCCCAGAGUUAGUGAUAGUCAGAAGUGACUUUGACUUACUUAAGAUUGAUUUGGAGGACAAAUCUUAUUCUAGUAACUAA